UCGUCCGCCGGACUCGGAAUGGGGCGAGACUUUGCGCGGGGCCUCGGGGUGCCAAAAAUAAGCCGCGGGCAAAGCCGCGCCCAAAAAGAAGCGCCCGAAGGUCGUGGUGCCAAAACCCCCCAGCGGAAAAAUGGCCAAAAAACGGGGGGGCUAUAGCCUUGGUGGGGGGCGCGGGCGAAGUUCGUCCGCCGGACUCGGAAUGGGGCGAGACUUUGCGCGGGGCCUCGGGGCACCAAAAAUAAGCCGCGGGCAAAGCCGCGCCCAAAAAUAAGCGCCCGAAGGUCGUGGUGCCAAAACCCCCCAGCGGAAAAAUGGCCAAAAAACGGGUGGGCUAUAGCCUUGGUGGGGGGCGCGGGCGAAGUUCGUCCGCCGGACUCGGAAUGGGGCGAGAAUUUGCGAGGGGCCUCGGGGCGCCCGCGGGAAGUCGCGGGCACAGCCAAGUCCAAAAAUAAGCGCCCGAAGGUCGUGGUGCCAAAACCCCCCAGCGGAAAAAUGGCCAAAAAACGGGUGUGCUAUAGCCUUGGUGGGGGGCGCGGGCGAAGUUCGUCCGCCGGACUCGGAAUGGGGCGAGACUUUACGAGGGGCCUCGGGGUACCCGCGGGAAGUCGCGGGCACAGCCGCGUCCAGAAAUAAGCGCCCGAAGGUCGUGGUGCCAAAACCCCCCAGCGGAAAAAUGGCCAAAAAACGGGUGGGCUAUAGCCUUGGUGGGGGGCGCGGGCGAAGUUCGUCCGCCGGACUCGAAAUGGGGCGAGACUUUGCGAGGGGCCUCGGGGCACCAAAAAUAAGCCGCGGGCAAAGCCGCGCCCGAAGGUCGUGGUGCCAAAACCCCCCAGCGGAAAAAUGGCCAAAAAACGGGUGGGCUAUAGCCUUGGUGGGGGGCGCAGGCGAAGUUCGUCCGCUGGACUCGGAAUGGGGCGAGACUUUACGAGGGGCCUCGGGGCGCCAAAAAUAAGCCGCAGGCAAAGCCGCGCCCAAAAAUAAGCACCCGAAGGUCGUGGUGCCAAAACCCCCCAGCGGAAAAAUGGCCAAAAAACGGGUGGGCUAUAGCCUCGGUGGGGGGCGCGGGCGAAGUUCGUCCGCCGGACUCGGAAUGGGGCGAGAAUUUGCGAGGGGCCUCGGGGUGCCCGCGGGAAGUCGCGGGCACAGCCAAG
rnacentral:lncRNA from 1 species